AGGUUAAAACUCAAAUGAAUUGACGGGGGCCCGCACAAGCGGUGGAGCAUGUGGUUUAAUUCGAUGCAACGCGAAGAACCUUACCUGGUCUUGACAUCCACGGAAGUUUUCAGAGAUGAGAAUGUGCCUUCGGGAACCGUGAGACAGGUGCUGCAUGGCUGUCGUCAGCUCGUGUUGUGAAAUGUUGGGUUAAGUCCCGCAACGAGCGCAACCCUUAUCCUUUGUUGCCAGCGGUCCGGCCGGGAACUCAAAGGAGACUGCCAGUGAUAAACUGGAGGAAGGUGGGGAUGACGUCAAGUCAUCAUGGCCCUUACGACCAGGGCUACACACGUGCUACAAUGGCGCAUACAAAGAGAAGCGACCUCGCGAGAGCAAGCGGACCUCAUAAAGUGCGUCGUAGUCCGGAUUGGAGUCUGCAACUCGACUCCAUGAAGUCGGAAUCGCUAGUAAUCGUGGAUCAGAAUGCCACGGUGAAUACGUUCCCGGGCCUUGUACACACCGCCCGUCACACCAUGGGA
rnacentral:rRNA from 1 species